rnacentral:tRNA from 3 species
GCCCCCGUAGCCCAACGGCAGAGGCAGGCGACUUAAACUCGCCCAAGUGUGGGUUCGAAUCCCACCGGGGGUA